rnacentral:rRNA from 1 species
CAGCCGCCGCGGUAAUACAGAGGGUGCAAGCGUUAAUCGGAAUUACUGGGCGUAAAGUGCGCGUAGGUGGUUUGUUAAGUUGGAUGUGAAAUCCCCGGGCUCAACCUGGGAACUGCAUCCAAAACUGGCAAGCUAGAGUAUGGUAGAGGGUGGUGGAAUUUCCUGUGUAGCGGUGAAAUGCGUAGAUAUAGGAAGGAACACCAGUGGCGAAGGCGACCACCUGGACUGAUACUGACACUGAGGUGCGAAAGCGUGGGGAGCAAACAGGAUUAGAUACCCCCGUAGUCCCUGUCUCUUAUAC